rnacentral:lncRNA from 1 species
GCCUGAUCAUUUUGUAGCCACUUUACUCUCAAACCUUAUGUCUCUCCCUGGAAGUACUCUGUUCUUCACAAGUGGGUUCCCUCAAUUCCUUCCAUUUCACUGCUCCAGUGUUCUCUUUCAUACCAUGACCACAAUGUGUAAAUAUUUUGGUUUCUUGAUUGAUUUAUUGUCUGUUGACUUUAUUCCUCCACCAUCAAAGUAUGUUCAAAAAAAAAAAAAAAAAAAAAACAGUCCUUGCCUACUUAGUGGAUCCUUGUGCCUACCAGUGUUUUACACAAAGUGGGCAGCAAUAAUCAUUUCAUAAGUGAGGAAAUACCUGAAUGAGUGAAUGUUUCUGGGGAAACAGAAUAGCUCAAAUAGUUCUAAUGCUAGAAAUUAAGGGUUAAAUGUUCCCAGGGGGUGAGGGGGUCAUACUAAAUGGUGUGUCUGCAGAGAAUAAUGGGUUAAGAAGAUUGAAAAUGUAUUAGGGGCCUAAUAGAAUGUCACUGCAGAAAAAUAUGUCUGACCUGAAGCAAGGGAAUUGUGGGAUUUCCUAUGUAGAGAUGGGAGACAGGGUGCUCCAAGAGCAGAUGAUCUAAACAAACAUGCAAGGAUGGACUUGUAUGGAAUAAGCCAUGACCUCAUAGUAAACAGAGCAAAGGCCAAGUCCCAACUUCCCCUAAAUAGCUCUUGAUUUUGAAUUAUGUACUUAAUGAACAGUUCCAAGGGCUAUAUAAUUUCCAGGCCCAUUACCACCAUUAUUUUUUCCCGACUCUCAGUUUCCUUGGCUGCUAAGUGAGGAUAUUAAUUCAUGGUUCAGAGGUUUUUAUGAAAUAAUGGAUGUCAACGAACCUGGUUUUUAGCAGGUACUUUCAUUCAUAGUGAUUUUAGCUGAGUUUAGGUGACCUGAUAUAUUUGGAAAUGAGUUAUUUAAAGUCAAGGAGCAGAUCCAUUAUAAUACCAUGAUUAGAAUGGAUAAUCACACUUGAAGAAAAUGGACCAUCUGAUGAGUAAAUGUAGUUUAUUAAUAAAGUGGUGAAACUUACCUCUAGGGAGGUAAGUUCUAGUCUUAAUGUAACCUUAGGUUCUGGGAUGUGCUCAGAAAAGACAAAACACUCAAUUUUUCCAUGUCUUAGGAUCCUUCUUAAAAUUUUCAUUGUUACAAAGAUACCUAAAUGUGAACUUACUUUCUUCUUGAGGGUUUCAGUAAGGAAAGUGAAGAUCACGUCUCUCAAGAACAUUAAGCUUCAGUAGAAACGUGUCAUGUGAAGUAUUAUAAUGGAAGGGAUGUGAAAAGUAGGUGGGCCACUCAACCAUUUUCACCAUUCAAAGGUGUUCCUGCAAACCAUCUAUCUAGAUUAAAUAAUGAUUCCGGGGUUGACCAGUUCUCUGGAUGUCCCAAGGUCUGCCAUUGCGAGUUGUGGUGUUACUUAACAUGUACAUAGAGAAGAACAAAAUGGGAGGGAAUAUUUGAAUAGUGAGCUCCUAGAAAAUGGUAAAAACAGCCUAGAAG